rnacentral:lncRNA from 1 species
AUGCGGGGCAGAGUAACUUCUAAUCCAGAGAUGAGGCCCAUGCCUGGAGCUGAGGCCAGAUGUGGAAGGCUCACAGGAUCCACAAGGGAGCUACUUGUGCAGGGCUCACUCUCGACUCCUUCCCACGGCUCCACAAACCAACGUGUCCAACUCAGCUUUCCAGGGCUUCAUUACAAGGUAAGCCCUCUGCUGCAUAGACGCUCAAUGCUAAAGGGCAGUCAAGUGACCCAAGGCACUAACCACGUCGUUCGCAUGUGUAGUAAAGCUCCAGCCCGCUAGAGACUCACAAACCUCUUGUUCCCUCCUUAACAAAGAGAAGUGCAGUCACAGUGCUUAAAGCCAGUAGCUUUUGGCAGCAGUCAUACAUGGGGCCCUGGAGCCAGCAGCAAGGACAGAAGGACACCACCGGCACAGCCAAAGGCCAGAUCUGUUGUUGUUGUUGUUGUUUAGUUGCUAAGUUGUAUCUGAUGCUUUUGCGACUCUAUGAACUGUAGCCCACCAGGCUACUCCAUCCAUAGGAUUUCCCAGGCAAGAAUACUGGAGUAGGUUGCCAUUUCCUUCUCCAGGGGAUCUUCCCAACCCAU